CUCUGGGAGAGUCAAACAAACUUGAUUAGCAGCUUAUUUUAUAAGUUGUGAAAGAGGACUCGAAGAAAGGAGAA
rnacentral:sRNA from 12 species